rnacentral:misc_RNA from 1 species
GAUGAAGAACGCAGCGAAAUGCGAUACUUGGUGUGAAUUGCAGAAUCCCGUGAACCAUCGAGUCUUUGAACGCAAGUUGCGCCCGAAGCCAUCAAGUUGAGGGCACGUCUGCCUGGGCGUCACAUAUCGUUGCCCAAUGCCUAUUGCAGUGCAAUAGGAAUUUCUAGGGCGAAUGAUGGCUUCCCGUGAGCGUUGUUGCCUCGCGGUUGGUUGAAAAUCGAGUCCUUGGUAGGGUGUGCCAUGGUAGAUGGUGGUCGAGUUAGAACGAUACCGAUCAUGUGCAUGCUCCCCAAAAUAUGGCCUCUAUGACCCACACGCGUCUUUUGACGCUCAUGACGAGACCUCAGGUCAGGCGGGGCUACCCGCUGAAUUUAAGCAUAUCAAUAAGCGGAGGA